rnacentral:rRNA from 1 species
UACAGAGGGGGCUAGCGUUGUUCGGAAUUACUGGGCGUAAAGUGUGCGCAGGCGGCCAUGCAAGUCGAGUGUGAAAGCCCCGGGCUUAACUUGGGAAUUGCGCUCGAAACUACGUGGCUGGAGUGUGGCAGAGGAAGGUGGAAUUCCACGUGUAGCGGUGAAAUGCGUAGAGAUGUGGAGGAACACCAAUGGCGAAGGCAGCCUUCUGGGCCAACACUGACGCUCAUGCACGAAAGCGUGGGGAGCAAACAGG